GACGAAGGAUGCAAGCGUUAUCCGGAUUCAUUGGGUUUAAAGGGAGCGUAGGCGGUCUGAUAAGUCAGUGGUGAAAUCUCUCAGCUUAACUGAGAAACUGCCAUUGAUACUGUUAGACUUGAGUACGGUUGCUGUGGGCGGAAUAUGACAUGUAGUGGUGAAAUACAUAGAGAUGUCAUAGAACACCGAUUGCGAAGGCAGCUCACAAAGCCGUAACUGACGCUGAGGCUCGAAAGUGCGGGGAUCAAACAGG
rnacentral:misc_RNA from 1 species